GUCCUAUCUGACUCCUGUACAGGAUAAGGAAGCAGAGUUUUAAGGACAGCACGCUCCAGACAAGCUCGGCAGACACGAAGGUCUACUCAAGGUGUCACCCUAGCAGACCUUCAAGAAGCAGAAAGGACAUUCAGCCAGUCGAGGGCAGAGAGGCAAGCUCAGGAGCAGCCUCGUGAGAAGCCUACAGACACUGAAGGGCUUGAGGGGAGCCCUGAGAAGCAUGAGACCUAAGCAGUUCCUGCAACAGAAGCUGGGGAGGGCCAGCAGCCCUGGGGCAGGAGUCUGGAUGAAGAGCCUAUCUGUCAUCACCUGAGGUGCCCAGCUCAGCCAGACAAACCCACCACGCCAGCAUCUCCUUCUACAUCAAGACCCUCACUCUACACCAGUUCCCACCUGCUAUGGACAAAUAGAUUUUCAGUCCCUGAUUCUGAGAGUUCAAAGACUACCACAAACACUACAACUGCAAAGGAAAUGGACAAAAAUGAGAAUGAAGAAGCAGAUUUGGAUGAGCAGUCCUCUAAGAGGCUGUCUGUCCAAGAGAGGAGGUGGCCCAAGGAACGAUGAAGAGGCACAGACAUCAAUUUCUGGUCAAAGGAUGAGGAUGAAACUGAUGGCUCUGAAGAGGUCAAAGAAACAUGG
rnacentral:lncRNA from 1 species